AUCGCUUCUCGGCCUUUUGGCUAAGAUCAAGUGUAGUAUCAAAAAGGUCUGGUUUUUUCAGCUGAUGGAGGGAAAAAUCAAGUCAGAAAGUAUUUGAAAUUGUGUUCCUACCACAUGCCUACCAUUGCAGAGGAAAAAAAUGUAAUAGCAAUUACAUAAUUAGUACAUUUUGUAUACCAGUU